rnacentral:rRNA from 1 species
GAUGAACGCUGGCGGCGUGCCUAAUACAUGCAAGUCGAGCGAACGGAAGAGAAGCUUGCUCCUCUGAUGUUAGCGGCGGACGGGUGAGUAACACGUGGAUAACCUACCUAUAAGACUGGGAUAACAUCGGGAAACCGGAGCUAAAACCGGAUAAUAUUUUGAACCGCAUGGUUCAAAAGGGAAAGACGGUCUUGCUGUCACUUAUAGAUGGAUCCGCGCUGCAUUAGCUAGUUGGUAAGGUAACGGCUUACCAAGGCAACGAUGCAUAGCCGACCUGAGAGGGUGAUCGGCCACACUGGAACUGAGACACGGUCCAGACUCCUACGGGAGGCAGCAGUAGGGAAUCUUCCGCAAUGGGCGAAAGCCUGACGGAGCAACGCCGCGUGAGUGAUGAAGGUCUUCGGAUCGUAAAACUCUGUUAUUAGGGAAGAACAUAUGUUUAAGUAACUGUGCACAUCUUGACGGUACCUAAUCAGAAAGCCACGGCUAACUACGUG